UUUCUUCUGUCGCCUCCUUUGUGUAAUCUUACAGCUUCAAUUACAACCAUUCAUUACCGUGGCAGGUUUGAAUUCAGGGGUGGGCAGCCUCUAGCACAUCAGCUUUAGCUAGCUUGCUUUCUGCUGUAGCCUUAUUGUAGAAAAGUGGCUAUAUGUUAAUGCAAGUAUUUUAGCUUAAAAAUGCAUAUACUGGAUAAAGCUCACUUAAAAAGAGAUAAACUAGCUUUCCUGAAAAAAA